rnacentral:rRNA from 1 species
CAUGCCAAUGGCACUGCCCGGUAGCUAAAUGCGGAAGAGAUAAGUGCUGAAAGCAUCUAAGCACGAAACUUGCCCCGAGAUGAGUUCUCCCUGACUCCUUGAGAGUCCUGAAGGAACGUUGAAGACGACGACGUUGAUAGGCCGGGUGUGUAAGCGCAGCGAUGCGUUGAGCUAACCGGUACUAAUGAACCGUGAGGCUUAACCUUACAACGCCGAAG